UAUGCUAUCAGAUGGACUCGGACAAUCAGGGUAGAUAACUUUUGGCUGAAUUUAUGACAAAUUACCUCCCUUUAUUUUAUGUAAAUGAAUAUACCUCAGCAGCAUCUAAUGAGAUUGGUUUUAAAUGUUAUUUAAGUCUUCCAGGGUAAGGAAUAGUCAUGCUAGUACAAAAAUGCAGCAUUUGAGCAUAGGACCCAGAAGCUUGGUAUGGAGAUUGGCCCCAACUAGUACGUGACCCAUAGGUCAAAAGGGACUGUUACGAGAAACUAUUUAUCCUGAUGAUGUAUGCCUAUGUGAUCUAUGUGAAAACUUGAUCUUAUCAUUAAGAGCAAUGGUACUCAGGUGAGCGAUAUAGGGCCAUCGUGGCCCUCUUGUUUACACAUGCAUUUCUGUAUCUGUACACUUAAUCACAAUAAGGUUACCAUGGAAACGUGCCUCUACAUCUAGGCAAUGAUAUAAUGCAUUCGAAUGUACAAAGUUACAAUCAAAUAUUAUUUAAUAGAUCUUUCUUGUGGCAACAUUUUCAUAUAUCUAUUUCUGUUUUUACACAUGCUUUUCUGUAUCUAUAUACCCAGCCUCAACAAUUACAAUGGAAACGCACCUCUUCAUCUAGACAGUGGUAUAAUGGAUGUCAGACGUUCUUAUGUACAAAUUUAUACAGCAGAUUUUGGAACAAAUAGGUAAGGGUGUGUAUGUUUAUAAGUUCUUUCUUGUGGCAAAAUUUUCAUAUAUCUGUUUCAGUUUGGACAUGUGUCAUUCUGUAAUCAUACACGUAACUUCAAGAGGGUUACCACGGAAACGUACCUCUUCAUGUAGGCAAUUAUAUAAUUGAUGACUGGCGUUCAGAUAUACUAAGUUAUACAGCAGAUGUUGGAACAUAUAGGGUGUAUAUGUUUGCUAAUUCUUUCUUGUGGUAACAUUUUAAUAUAUUUGUUUCUGUUUUUCACAUAUUUUCUGUAUCUAUACAAUUAACCGUAUCAUGAUGGCCAUGGCGAGGUACCUCUUCAUGUAGGCAAUGGUAUAGUAUAUAAUGGAUGCCUUUCUGUUUCUUUACAUUUAACCUCAACAGGGUUACGGUAACUUACCAUAGAAACGUACCUCUUCAUCUAGGCGAUGGUAUUACGGAUAGCCGGCGUCAGAUGUACAAAGUUAUACAGCUAUACAGAGUUUGGAACAUAUAGAGUGUGUAUGUUUACUAGUUCUUUUUUGUGGUAACAUUUUGACAUAUUUGUUUUUGUUUUUACACAUGCCUUUCUGUAUCUGUACACUUAAUCUCAAUAAGGUUGCCAUGGAAACGUACCUCUACAUCUAGGCAAUGAUAUAAUGGAUGGCUGGCAUUUGAAUGUACAAAGUUAUACAGCAAAUUUUGGAACAUACAGGGUGUGUAUGUUUACUUGUUCUUCCUUAUAUAUUUGUUUCUAUUUUUACACAUGCCUUUCUGUACCUAUACACUCCACAGAGUUACCAUAGAAACGGACCUCUUCAUCUAGGCGAUGUUAUUACGGAUGGCCCGGCGUUCAGAUGUACAAAGUUAUACAGCAUAUUUUGGAACACAUAGGGUGUGUAUGCUUACUAGUUCUUCCUCAUACAUUAGUUUCUAUUUUUACACAUGCCUUUCUGUAUCUAUACACUCCACAGAGUUACCAUAGAAACGGACCUCUUCAUCUAGGCGAUGUUAUUACGGAUGGCCCGGCGUUCAGAUGUACAAAGUUAUACAGCAAAUUUUGGAACAUAUAGGGUGUGUAUGUUUACUUGUUCUUCCUUAUAUAUUUGUUUCUUUUUUUACACAUGCCUUUCUGUAUCUAUACACUCCACAGAGUUACCAUAGAAACGGACCUCUUCAUCUAGGCGAUGUUAUUACGGAUGGCCCGGCGUUCAGAUGUACAAAGUUAUACAGCAAAUUUUGGAACAUAUAGGGUGUGUAUGCUUACUAGUUCUUCCUCAUACAUUGGUUUCUAUUUUUACACAUGCCUUUCUGUAUCUAUAAACUACACAGAGUUACCAUAGAAACGGACCUCUUCAUCUAGGCGAUGGUAUUACGGAUGGCCCGGCGUUCAGAUGUACAAAGUUAUACAGCAAAUUUUGGAACAUACAGGGUGUGUAUGUUUACUUGUUCUUCCUUAUAUAUUUGUUUCUUUUUUACACAUGCCUUUCUGUGUCUAUUCACUCAACAGGGUUACCAAAGAAAUGUACCUUUUCAUCUUUGCAAUGGCAUUUAUGGAGGACAGACGACCAAUUCUACAAACAGCAGUGAGAGAAUUCCUGCAACCAGUCACAUGGUAAAUGCAUAGCUUUAGAUAAUCUAAGCCUUGCUAAGACCUCUGAAUGAAAUCAAGUACAAUUUGAAUUUAACAAAAAUCUGGAUAAUAGGUACACUUAUUGAGCACCCGGUCUACCUUGUAUGUUUUUGUUUUGCAAUACUGUGUGUUCGGUGUUUGCUGUUUUGUCAGGGAUUUAUUUACAGUGGGUGGCUGCUUGGUGCUGUUUGUUGUGGUGUUUGUUGUGUUGUGUGUUUUGCUUGUGUUUGUUGUGGUGUUUGUCGUGUUAUGUGUUUUGGUGGUUAUUUUGGUGGUGUUUUAGUGUUCGUGAUUGUGUUUGUGGUGUCUUCAAUGUGUUCUUCUCAAACGUGUACGAUAUAGUUUUGGUUCUUUUGUCAAAAAGGGUUUUUUGUUGGUGCGAAUUGUUUGUUGUAUUGGGUUCUUUGUCUUUUGUUCCGUUACAAUAUGUUUUUCUGUCUUCCAUUAGUAAUAUCUAAUUAUUACUCGAUUUAUUCCCGUAAACAGUUAUUAGAAUAAGGUAAAUCUUGCGGUAUGUUUUAAUAACUUUACUUGUUCCAUAAAUUUUAAAUAGCUGGAAUGACAUAUCGUGAAAUAUGCAGACGACAGACAUAAGGUGGAGACGACAUCUGGGCUAACGCGCGCAAAUUUUCUAUUUUAUUUCUGCUUUUUAUUCUUUUUGUUUUGCUGUUGUUUUUUUCUACUAGAGUAUGGGGAUACUUGGAGAAUAAAGACGCAGACGAUAUGGAGAUGCAGACGACAGGAGAUGCAGACGAAACAGUGUGCGAUUCUCUUUUUCAUGAACAGGUAGGUAGAUCUAUAUUGCUACUUAUCAUUAUCCUAUUCUAUAUGCAUAUUUUCCUGCAGAGUUUUCCAAAAUGGUGGCUGAUGUUGACUACAAGCGCUUGUGAAGAUAUCAUGUUGCAGAUAUCACAAAUGUUUAGUGGGUGGUGCAGCUAUGGUGCUUGAUAUCGACUACAAGCACGUGCACGGAUGUCAUAUUGUAGAUUUCGAAAUGAUUUAGUGGACUUCUGAUGUUGACUAUACAAGCACAUGCAUAGAUGGCAAAUGUUGUAGAUUUCGCUAUGGUUUGGUGAACGGUAUAGCUUGACCUUUGUCUCCGGCGCAAUGAGGAAGAAAUAUUUAUUUGAUGGAACUACAGUUGCAUUAGGACUGCCUUGCUGGUACCAUCAAUGCCACUCACCAGAGAUGCGCUGGUACCCUAUCGAAGCCGGUCAUCAGAGGUGCGCUGGACCCCUUAUGUCUACGCGCUGUUCUAUGGGCAACAUGUAGUGGUUUUAGUGUAGUUCAAGCCUUGACGGACAUACUGUGUAUUUUCAUGCUAUGAUAGAGAGCUCUUCUACACCUCGUGCACACCCCCCCCCCCCCCCA